AUUCAGAGGUUAAGCAAAGCCACUCUUCAGUCUUAGAUCUAAUUAUUUAAACACACUAUUCUUUUGCUUUCCUAAUCCUGUAUUAAUUUCAUCUCUUUAAGUAGGGAUCAAGGGUUGAAGGAAUCAUCUUCAAUGAUGACAUUCAUAGAAUGAGCCAGAUCUUGCAAGUUUAUAAAAAAUACAAAAUUUCCAAUGCUGAGGUCAGACCUAUACCGUCAAAAUUCCAGACAUCUGAACUUACCGUUCAAUGGGUUAUUAGUAGCAGGACUGUUAUUGACGAAAUUGCUGAUGAUGAUGAAAUUAUGGCUGUUAAAUUCUGCUAUUCAAAGUUUACUGACUUAGUUCAAUACAUGGAUGACAAAACUAGAUCAGUGGGUGAGUCUUUCAAUACUUUACUCUUAAUGUGUUUGCAUUCUGAAAAAAAGUUCUUUACCAAGACUUUUUCUGUAUUGUGCUUAGACGUGCUGGGAGUUGUGAUCAGCGCGCUUGAGAGGAAAACAGUUAUCAAGAACUCAAGGCAAUCAAAUGUUCAGAAAUUUGUCCUGCUUAACGAAGAGUAAAAGCUUUAAGCUUCAGUUUAGGCAAAAGUGCACGCUGCCUUUUCUUUUUUUCCUCUGCAGUUGCUUUUUCCAGUCUGAUGGACUGUUAUCUCUUACCACGAACACAGAUCACAGCCGGUGCUAUUGUCUCUGUGGGAUACUUUCCUGGGUAAUGAGGGACAGGAAAUUGUAUCUAAACUUCACAGCUAUCCUGUGAUCAUUGCUCGCAGAAUCAGAGUGAAUAACUAUAAUGGGGUCGCACUUGGUACUUGGUUUGAUUCAGCAAUUCUUGUUGAUCCACCUAUACAAGAAGCAAGGGAACUCAAAAACUGGGCAUUGAGGAACACUAAGUUGAUUAAGGAGAUUGUCGAAAAAAAGGACUAUAUUAAAUAUAAUCCACAGCUAUCCUUAAAAUCAGA